GCAUCGCUGGAGACCUGCGUCGACCUGGCUGCCCGGAAAGACUCAGCUGUAAAGGUGCUGCUCUGACUUUAUGAUUCAGGAGGCGGAGAGGAGAAGCUCAGGGAAGAAAAUACAGCUGCGUUGCUGCUGCUGCAAAAAAAGAUGGGAUGAUAAAUCAGCCUCCAACGUACUCCUGAUUGUGCCAGGUCUCUCGGCAAAUGCCAUCUUGCUGUCCAGCUCCUCCUGCGCUUACCCCGACAGAACAAGAGGAAAUGAGAGCUUCUGCCCAAGAAAGGAGUACCACCAGCUCUGCUGGUGCCUGCUGAACAGUCAUAACACAGCUCCAUCCAGCUGCUGCAGGAACCGAAGUAAUGCUGAAAGGGUGCUAUCAGGAGCAAUCACUGCAUUUUGCACUUAAUGUUGUUUACUGUAGUGCCUAACAAAUUGAAUUACAUGCUAAUCAGCACACCCUGCCUGUUAAAUCUAUGGCUCCUUUUCAUUUCACUUCUUUCUACACACAAAUAAUUCACUGAGCGUCACAGUGCCAUGGACUCCCAGACUGGUCCAAAUUUCACACGUGACCUUCAAUGACACAUCAGGUCCCCACACACAGAGAAAAUUCCCUGUGUCUGAGAUACUGCCCAUGCAAGGUGUGCGACACAGACCAGCAAAGCAAAUCCACUCUGUCAGCUACUGCACCAUCAUUGUGCUGCCUCCCAGUCACAAAUGAAGGUAUUUUUCCAGCAAAAAGUAGCCUACAGCCCUACCCUGGAGCAAGAGAGUGGCAGUAUUAUUUUGGGUGCCAGGGGAGCCCAUUCAGGUCCUCCCAUGAGGGUGUCUGUGCUCAGGGCAGGAUUUCCGGCAAUAGCCUUCCCACAAAAGUUAAAGCCUUGCCCAGCUCAUACCCCUGAGCUCACGUUCAGAGAUGACAGGUUGCUCUGUUUGUUCAGUCUCAUACACUUGGCCCCAUCCUGGGGUUUUGGUGGGUUGUCCCUCCCCUGUACGUGAGACCGGGGGACACUCAGGGGGGACUGACGAACUGAAAAGCUUAAAGUCCAGAUUUAUGUAAACAGCCUCCAAGAACAAAUUUUUGCACUUACAGCAUGUAAAACCCAAGGCAGUUGGAAUAAAAGGAAAAAAGGAUGACUUCAAUCCUAAAGUUAAUUGUAUUCUGUAUCUUUUAUCAUAUUCUAAGUAAGAGUAAUCCAGUCAACCCACCAAAUAAGAGAGAAGUCUGCUCAAC